rnacentral:rRNA from 1 species
CCUACGGGAGGCAGCAGUGGGGAAUAUUGGGCAAUGGGCGCAAGCCUGACCCAGCAACGCCGCGUGAAGGAAGAAGGCUUUCCGGUUGUAAACUUGUUUUAAGAGGGAAGUGCAGAAGACGGUACCUGUUUAAUAAGCCACGUCUAACUACGUGCCAGCAGCCGCGGUAAUACGUAGGUGGCAGGCGUUGUCCGGAUUUACUGGGUGUAAAGGGAGUUCAGGCGGGAAUACAAGUCAGAUGUGAAAUCCCGCGGCUCAACCGCGGAAAUGCAUUUGAAACUGUUGUUCUUGAGUACCGGAGAGGACAUCGGAAUUCCUUGUGUAGCGGUGAAAUGCGUAGAUAUAAGGAAGAACACCGGUGGCGAAGGCGGAUGACUGGACGGCAACUGACGGUGAGGCGCGAAAGCGUGGGGAGCAAACAGGAUUAGAUACCCCGGUAGUC